rnacentral:rRNA from 1 species
AUACGUAGGGGGCGAGCGUUGUCCGGAAUUACUGGGCGUAAAGGGCGUGUAGGCGGCCGCGCAAGUCAAGUGUGAAACGCCACGGCUUAACCGAGGCAUUGCACAUGAAACUGCGUGGCUUGAGUGCAGGAGAGGGAAGUGGAAUUCCUAGUGUAGCGGUGAAAUGCGUAGAUAUUAGGAGGAACACCAGUGGCGAAGGCGACUUCCUGGACUGUAACUGACGCUGAGGCGCGAAAGCGUGGGUAGCAAACAGGAUUAGAUACCCUGGUAGUCCACGCUGUAAACGAUGGGUACUAGGUGUGGGUAGUUCACUCUAUCCGUGCCGCAGCAAACGCAAUAAGUACCCCGCCUGGGGAGUACGGCCGCAAGGUUGAA